rnacentral:rRNA from 1 species
UGGCCAGUCGUUAGAUCACUCGACCACGGUAACAGGAAGCAGCUUGCUGCUUCGCUGACGAGUGGCGGACGGGUGAGUAAUGUCUGGGAAACUGCCUGAUGGAGGGGGAUAACUACUGGAAACGGUAGCUAAUACCGCAUAACGUCGCAAGACCAAAGAGGGGGACCUUCGGGCCUCUUGCCAUCGGAUGUGCCCAGAUGGGAUUAGCUAGUAGGUGGGGUAACGGCUCACCUAGGCGACGAUCCCUAGCUGGUCUGAGAGGAUGACCAGCCACACUGGAACUGAGACACGGUCCAGACUCCUACGGGAGGCAGCAGUGGGGAAUAUUGCACAAUGGGCGCAAGCCUGAUGCAGCCAUGCCGCGUGUAUGAAGAAGGCCUUCGGGUUGUAAAGUACUUUCAGCGGGGAGGAAGGGAGUAAAGUUAAUACCUUUGCUCAUUGACGUUACCCGCAGAAGAAGCACCGGCUAACUCCGUGCCAGCAGCCGCGGUAAUACGGAGGGUGCAAGCGUUAAUCGGAAUUACUGGGCGUAAAGCGCACGCAGGCGGUUUGUUAAGUCAGAUGUGAAAUCCCCGGGCUCAACCUGGGAACUGCAUCUGAUACUGGCAAGCUUGAGUCUCGUAGAGGGGGGUAGAAUUCCAGGUGUAGCGGUGAAAUGCGUAGAGAUCUGGAGGAAUACCGGUGGCGAAGGCGGCCCCCUGRRCGAAGACUGGACGCUCAGGUGSGAAAGCGUGGGGAGCAAAACAGGGAUUAGAUACCCUGGUAGUCCACGCCGUAAACGAUGUCGACUUGGAGGUUGUGCCCUUGAGGCGUGGCUUCCGGAGCUAACGCGUUAAGUCGACCGCCUGGGGAGUACGGCCGGCAAGGUUAAAACUCAAAUGAAUUGACGGGGGGCCCGCACAAGCGGUGGAGCAUGUGGUUUAAUUCGAUGCAACGCGAAGAACCUUACCUGGUCUUGACAUCCACGGAAGUUUUCAGAGAUGAGAAUGUGCCUUCGGGAACCGUGAGACAGGUGCUGCAUGGCUGUCGUCAGCUCGUGUUGUGAAAUGUUGGGUUAAGUCCCGCAACGAGCGCAACCCUUAUCCUUUGUUGCCAGCGGUYCGGCCGGGWACUCAAAGGAGACUGSCAGUGAUAAACUGGARGAAGGUGGGGAUGACGUCAAGUCAUCAUGGYCCUUACGGACCAGGGCUACACACGUGCUACAAUGGCGCAUACAAAGAGAAGCGACCUCGCGAGAGCAAGCGGACCUCAUAAAGUGCGUCGUAGUCCGGAUUGGAGUCUGCAACUCGACUCCAUGAAGUCGGAAUCGCUAGUAAUCGUGGAUCAGAAUGCCACGGUGAAUACGUUCCCGGGCCUUGUACACACCSCCCAUCACACCAUGGGAGUGGGUUGCAAAAGAAGUAGGUAGCUUAACCUUCGGGAGGGGUUUUUUUUCUUUU